GUCCAGACUCCUACGGGAGGCAGCAGUGGGGAAUAUUGGGCAAUGGGCGCAAGCCUGACCCAGCGACGCCGCGUGAGGGAAGACGGUCUUCGGAUUGUAAACCUCUUUCAGCAGGGAAGACAAAAGGACGGUACCUGCAGAAGAAGCCACGGCUAACUACGUGCCAGCAGCCGCGGUAAUACGUAGGUGGCAAGCGUUAUCCGGAAUUACUGGGUGUAAAGGGUGUGUAGGCGGGGCUGCAAGUCAGAUGUGAAAAUUAUGGGCUCAACCCAUAACCUGCAUUUGAAACUGUAGUUCUUGAGUGAUGGAGAGGCAGGCGGAAUUCCGUGUGUAGCGGUGAAAUGCGUAGAUAUACGGAGGAACACCAGUGGCGAAGGCGGCCUGCUGGACAUUAACUGACGCUGAGGCGCGAAAGCGUGGGGAGUAAACAGGAUUAGAUACCCUAGUAAU
rnacentral:rRNA from 1 species